ACUCCUACGGGAGGCAGCAGUCGAGAAUCUUUCGCAAUGCCCGAAAGGGUGACGAAGCGACGCCGCGUGCGGGAGGAAGGCCUUCGGGUUGUAAACCGCUGUCGGGAGUUAAGAAAUGCAAGGAUGUUAAUAGCGUUCUUGCUUGACUAAGGCUCCGAGAG
rnacentral:rRNA from 1 species